rnacentral:piRNA from 1 species
UGCCUGGAAAGCACUUUAUGGACUGACAGU